UCAGUGACUGACAAUAAUGACAUUGUUUUUAAAGUACACCAUAAACAUUGAGAUCCAACUGGUGACAGACAUUUAUUGCAAAGUUUAUAACUUGGUCUCUGCAAACCACACUAUCUGAGCACUAUCAUAAGUUCAAAUUGUAUCACCCCCAAAUGCCCCAGAUAUUUACUUCUAGUUAUUAUUCUCUGUUCCCCUUUUACAGUAUAGAAACAGGUCAACCAGCUUCCUUCCUCACUGAGCUCCGCAGCUGUAAAAAAAAAAAAAACUAAAUGCAAUUUUUCAA